AACUGUAGAUGGGAUGUCUCAUAGCUUGGUAUUUGAUUUGGCCUUUUCUAAAGGAAAGUAAUCUGUACCUAUUCCCCCUUGGUCGUCCGACUUUGUUUGGGUGGGUACUAAGUUUGUAGUUUCAGUUGAAGACACAGUUAAUCCUGCUUAGAUAACUUUAGUCAAUGUCAUGAACAAGAGUUGAUCACUAAGCCUGGACAUUUUCACCUAGGCUAGAGAAAGGAAGAGACGUUGCUUUUCAGCCAUCAUCAUCAUCAUCUUGUUCCCUGUCUGCGUCUGCUACUUCUUGCUGCUGGUACCUGUGUCAUUUAAGCCAACACCAAGAUAUAGUUACAGCGACAGUUCCAUUUAUAUUCGUGGGCUUGGCACAGCCUCCAUGUGAUGAUCUUUGACGUGUAUUGAGUGAACCAAAUAAUAGCUGCCCCUACAUGGCGAGUUGUGUUUUCCUUUUGUUUUGCUUUCUGAACUCUGACGUUAAUAUUUCCCUUUGUUUUCUAGACCAAAUGCUUCAUCUGUGGGAUAGGCAAUGAUUACUUCGACACAGUGCCACAUGGCUUUGAAACCCACACUUUACAGGAGCACAACUUGGCUAAUUACUUGUUUUUUCUGAUGUAUCUUAUAAACAAAGAUGAAACAGAACACACAGGACAGGAAUCUUAUGUCUGGAAGAUGUAUCAAGAAAGGUGUUGGGAAUUUUUCCCAGCAGGGGAUUGCUUCCGGAAACAGUAUGAAGACCAGCUAAAUUAAACUCAGACCCAAUCACCUCUAAAAACCAAAACCCUACCCCUCUCUCUCCCUCUCU
rnacentral:lncRNA from 10 species